rnacentral:lncRNA from 1 species
AUUUAGUUUUAAUAACCUUCAACGGUUUUAGUUUGACAUAAGCUUGACCGUUCAAGAUCAUUAAAACUAAAUCAAACUUUUGAAAGCCUUAACGAUCACCAAAUCAUAUGAAAUUUUGUAGAGGUGAUAUACUCAUAUAGACCUAAGAUAUGAAAGGUGGAGAUGUAAAAAUUCAAUUGGGAAAUGAUGUAAUGCCCUAUCCCUAGAAAGUGGCCAAAAAUAGGGAUCCCUCAAUGGAAGGGGGCUGUAAAGAGCCCCGAGCCAAUAAAGACUGAGAAGGUUGACUCAAAAACAAAUUUCAUUAGAGGCUCCGUUGUAGAGUUCAGACCUAAUCAUUACUCGAGAGGUGGUGGGAACGACAGAACCUGUGAAUGCAUCAGAUUCUAUUGAAAAGGAAUCCUAAUGAUUCAGUGGGUAGGAUGGCGGAACGAACCAGAAUUCAUUAUUUGUUUUUGAAAGAUUAUGUCAUAAACUAAUCUUACAACUAAAUGUUGAAAGAGUAAAUAUUCGCCCGCGAUUUUUUUUUUUAGAAAUUUGAAUAAAUUCGAUAUGAUAAUAAAAGCAAAAUAAAUAAAGAUUCAUUAUAACAUUAUACCUAAAUUACAUUAUCUAUAAAUAGAAUACUGAUGAAGGAUAAAGUGUAGAGAAAGAGAGAUAGCAAGAGAAUCAUCUUAUUCAUUGAUAGGAGCCCUUUAUAUAGGGAAUUACACAAUAUCAAUAUGGUAAGGAUAUGAAUACAUAGAUAUAGUCUAACUACAUAUCCUAUUGGCAUAAGGCCAAGACACACAUAGAGAAUAUCCUAGAACACUCCCCCUUGUGCCGCGCGCUGAUAUGCCGAUGGUGCUGAUCUGUUGCCUCGUCAAAAACCUCGUCAGGUUACAAAAACCCUGUGGGAGAAAAACUGAACCUUGAUCGUAGGAGAAAAAGAGUACAACGCACCAUUCACAUUUGAUAGUGACAUGUAUGUAUGUGCUAGACUCCCCCUGAAGUUCGCACCUCCCCUGAUCUUUACAUCAAUCAUAGGGCUCUUCCUGAUUCUUACUAAUCACGGAAGUUU